UACAAAUCUAAAGGAGCGGAAAUCCUUUUUUGUGGAGCAAGGCGGAACAAAAAAGAUUGGGAGCGGAAGACGGUCC
rnacentral:misc_RNA from 1 species